GCUACAGAGUGAUUAUUUGUGUCUUCUGAAACUUCCUUCUGUCUUUCUGCAGGAAAUUCUACGGAGAGAAGGUUGGAAUCUACUUUGCUUGGCUGGGCUAUUACACUCAGAUGCUCCUCCUGGCAGCAGUCGUGGGGGUGACUUGAUUUCUGUGUGGAUAUUUUAAUCAAAAUAACUGUACCUGUGGGCUGCGCCUAGUGAUUUCCAGAGAAACGCCAGACAUCUGGCUCAUCAGGAGGGGUGGGGAGGAUUUCAGGAAGCUGUUACCCUAACUCACUUGCAGAUCAGUCAUUUCUCAGUUACACGGCAGUUCUGUGACUUCCUUGUCAGAACUGCUCCUUAAGUUCGGGGUUUAGUGAAAGAUGCCAUUUUACCCUGUAAGUUCAUGUUCAGGGAGGAGGAGGAAGACAGCACAGAUCAGAAUUG